GCAAGUAUAAUAAAGAAAGAAAAACAACAAAAACUCACGUCAUGACCGUUGUAUUUAUUGAUAGACAUCAUGUUGGCACUGAGAUUUUUUUCGUCCAAACCUUCCGUAAGCGUUCCCUUAAAAGUAUUAGCCCUUAUUAAUACGUCCGAUAAUCAGAGCACAGGCAGGUUACUUAUGACCAAAGUUCCAUCUUAACCGCUGCGCUGCCACUGCGCGACCACCUUAACUGAAGGUGACCUGAGCUGGACCUACAUUGAUAAGUGGCCCAGGUAGUUCUAAAUAUAUCCUUGAUUAAACUUGUUUACCAAUAUUGUACCCAGUCCAUUACGUACAUCGAUUCCAUCGCGCCUCGACCUACACAUAAUCUCGACAAAAUUAAAAAGGUUUUGUUAAUUUCAAAUCCAAAAUGCUUCGUUCGGUUUUGGACGUGAUUUGGGACGAGAGCGUGUGGUUGCCGCCGAACAAUUCGUGGGCAGAUGUGGCCCCUGAGCUGAACAAGGCAGUUACUCACACAAACUAUUGGGAUGUUUUGCUUACAAUUCCAAUGGCCUUGAUGCUGAUGGCGCUGCGUUUCGUGUUGCAUAAAUAUGUAUUUACGCCAUUCGGCAAGUCACUAGGAAUAAAAUACUCUAGAAAUAAGAAGGCCUUUCCAAACAACAAGCUGGAAGCCGCUUACACAGCCGAUCCAGAUUCGAAAAAGAUCACUGCUUUAUCAAAACAAUUGGACAUGUCAGAGCGGCAAAUCCAGCGCUGGUGGCGCCAUCGCCGUCUUCAGGACAGGCCGUCCGCACUUGUUAAGUUCUGUGAGAGUGCUUGGCGGAGCACGUUCCUUCUGUUUAAUCUCAUGUUGGGCCUGUACGUCUUGUGGGACAAGGAGUGGUUAUGGGACAUAGACCACUGUUUCAUCGGGUAUCCACAUCAGGGCAUAUCCAACGAUCUAUGGUGGUACUAUAUGAGUGCGUUCGCAUUCAACUGGUCCCAGACGUUCUCAUUACACUUCGACGUUCGACGCAAGGAUCACCGACAAAUGAUAACACACCACGCAACCUCACUUUUACUGCUGUACCUGAGUUGGGUGUGUAAUGCACAUCGGACAGGAUCCUUAGUGUUACUUAUUGGUGAUGGCUCGGAAAUGUUGCUUGAGGUAUGAAGGUUUUCUUCUUAAAUAUACAAAAUUUUAAAGCCUAGCCAAAGGUUCUACUCGCUAAAAACGUUCUCACUACCUUUUGACGUUCGACGCGGGAAUCACCAACAGAUGAUCACACACCACGCAACGUCAAUUACUGUUGUUCUUGAGCUGGGUGUAUGACGCACAUCGUACAAAAUCCUUGUUGGUACUGGCUCGGAAAUGUUGCUUGAGGUAAAUAAAUAAAUAUUAUAGGACAUUACGAGUAUUACAAAAAUUGACUAAGUCCCACAGUCAGCUCAAUAAGGCUUGUGUUGAGGGUACUUAGACAACGAUAUAUACAAAUAUUAAUAAAUACUUAAAUACAUAGAACACAUCCAUGACUCAGGAACAAAUAUCCAUGCUCAUGACACGAAUAAAAGCCUUUACCAGGAUUUGAACCCGGACCCAUCGGCUUCAUAGGCACGGUCACUACCCACUAAGCCAGACCGGUCCGAGGUCGGUGAGGUAUGAAGGUUUUCCUCUUAAAUGUACAACAUUUCUAAGCCUAUCCUAAAGGUCCACUGGUUUCAUACGUUCUCACUACCGUUCGACAUUCGACGCGGGAAUCACCAACAUAAUGAUCACACACCACGCAACGUCACUAGUUGUUCUUGAGUUGGGUGUAUAACACACAUCGGACAGGACCCUUAGUGUUGAGAUAGGGACAGCUCGGAAAUGUUCCUCGAGGUACGAAGGUUUUUAAACACAAAUAUGACUUGGAUUGUGUGAAUACGGCGCCCACAUGAAUUGAGCUUUUUGUACAAUCGCUUGCGGUCGCGGUGAUCCAGUUAAGAAAAAAUUCCCAUAAAUGCCUGCUACCUACCUGCAAGGCGUUCAAACCGAUAUCACCCGAAGGGUGAAAUAUUGCGAACGCAGGCGAUUGUACCUACUUAGAUCGAUUAAAAAAUCACUUAUAUAAACACCUUUGUGUUGUGUAUCAUUAACACACAUUUUUGUACAGAGCAAGUAAAGUUAGCAAAUUGUGCUAGUUUCCGCGAGAAACGUAUGCGUCCGUACAUGGAUUAGUGCGACUGCGACCAUUUCCGAUAUGAUACUGAUUUGUCAGUGUCAAAAGUGACGUUUUUAGUUGAAAAAAUGUCACUAUUGACACUGAGAGAUCAGUGUCAUAUAGGAAACGGAUUGAAUAACUAAAAUUCGAGUCGGCCUAUGAUCCUCGCGCGAAUGACAAUAUGAUAAUAAUAUCAUUCAAAAAUUUGAUGUCAGUGCACGGUCGGAUUGGCCUGUCACGGCCCGUCCACGUUCCUUCAAACAAAAACAUCACUUUUGCCACUGACAUAUCCGAUUCAUAUCGUAUCUAGACCUAAUAUUUGACUUUAUCUUACAGUUCGAAUCAAAGCAUCAGUCAUUGUAAUGACAUUGGCACUCUUUUUGCAGGCGACAAAGACGAUGAGAUAUGCGAACUACGAAAAAACGAGUAUAUGCAUGUUCGUUGUUUUCACCUUGGUCUGGAUCGCGACUAGGCUCACGUUUUAUCCCUACAUUAUAUGGAGCAUACCAAACCGUGGGGCGUUAUACGUGCGCAGGUUCCCCAUAGUAUAUAUAUUAGUAUUCCUGCUUUACCUGCUUCUGGCCCUGAACGUGUAUUGGACGCGGUUAAUUCUACAAGUCGCGUACAAAGCAGUCGUGCAUGGUGAAACGAAGAAAGACAUCCGCAGUUCAAGUUCAGAAGUCAGCGACAAGUCGCUUUCCUCGGAUCAAGGCACAAGCACAACCAACGGCACUAGUUAUAAGAAAUGAAAUAAACCCAUCAUUUUUAUUAAAGAUGUACGAGAAGCUGCGGCGUCGUAAUCGAACGUGGCACCGCACCUUGCAUCUACUCGUACUCAACUCAACAUCUGCCCGGCGCGCGGCGCGACCUGCGGUGCCCGGUGCAGUAACGUGUGUUUUCACGACGCGGCAACGUAUAUUCGCACGGUGGAUAACGUGCCGCGCUCCGACACGACACCGCGUCGUUUUACGUUUACGGCGCCUUGUCGUGGACAUGUGGCCACGCCCUUAAAGGUCGUAAACAUAUUUGUCAAAAUGUAAUACUUAAUAAACUUCUGCAUAUAACUCGUUUGUGUGUUUAAACUGCAUUUCAAACCAGCGCUAGUAAUGCUCGCUAUUCACGGUUCACCUUUUGUGCCCACUGGAUGAAUACAACUCGUAUCCCUGUAUAUGUAUCCGGACAUAGCCAGAUUAAUCACUCGUUUGAUUAUAGUUUUUCAAUCCGAUUUUAUGUUUGCGUGGAUUUAGUUUUCGCGAAAAUUGGGAAACAUUUUUUACAGCGGCAAACUGUAAAUUGAAUAUUUUUUUAAUAAAUAUGUUAUAGACCAUUUAAUUGCUCCAUUUUGCAUUAAACAAGGGUCGGUUGGUUUUUAAUCAGCUUAUCCGAUAUCACAUAAUUAUGAUAUUGUAUUUAAUAACGUCAGUCGAAUUGCCGAAGACUCGAUUCGAAUAAUAAUUAAGACACGUUUAAGAUCUUUAAAAGAUCGAUAACUAAACGAUAUGUCAAAAUUGACGUUUAUUUCGAUUCCGCUGUGAUCCCAUUAAGAUCUAUCUACGAUAUUUCUUACGUCAAAGUGACAUUGGUUGCCUGAAUCGAGCUGCUUUUGUCAAUUAUGCAACAUAUAAACGAUAUCUAAAUGAGAACUUAUCUAAACCAGAAUUUAUCGUUAUCGUAUCUCAUUCUUCGAAUCGGGCCGGAAGUGCAAAAAGACCUUAGCGAACUCGGCGCCGUCGACUGGACAGAAACGGCUUUGGACAGAGAAGCGGCGGUCUUUGGUGUCGAAGGCCGAGAUCCACUUCGGGUCGCUGCGCCACAGCAGUAAGUAAGUACUGAUGGUGCAAACGAAUGUAUGCAUCAAAGUUUAUAUGAAAUUGCAAAUGCGAUUAUAAUAUUACGUCCCAAAUAAAAGCAAUCCCGGGAUUUGCAAAAACUCUCGAAGUUAAUUGAGUUUACAAAGAGCUUGGGUUAAUGUAUGGAAUCUGUACGCAAACGAAGUAUUUUUAAUUAAACUAUGCAAAUAAAGCAAUUUUGUAUCGUAAGUAUCGGUCCUAUUUACUGUUUGCGAAAAUCAUUAAUUAAGCUUAAAUUCUGUAAAUCCAAUCAGUCUCAUGAACUAGCAGAUUUGUAUGCUGCUGAAGAGUUUGAUCGAAAGAAAAAAAGGUCAGUAGAUAAUACUAAUGAUUAAAAUUAUAUUUUAUAUUGAAUACUUACUUUAAAAAUCAGAAACAAAAUCAGAAUGCUUUAUUUGUAAAACAUAGGUAUUAUUAGGGUAUAAUUUGUACUAUUUUAAAGGCUUUUUAGCAGCCAAUAUGUGCCUACGUUUUUAGCA